AGGGAGGCAGCAGUAGGGAAUCAUCCGCAAUGGGCGAAAGCCUGACGGUGCAACGCCGCGUGAACGAUGAAGGUCUUCGGAUUGUAAAGUUCUGUUGUUAGGGGAGAACAAGUACCGUUCGAAUAGGGCGGUACCUUGACGGUACCUGACCAGAAAGCCCCGGCUAAGUACGUGCCAGCAGCCGCGUAAUAAGCNUGGAU
rnacentral:rRNA from 1 species